rnacentral:rRNA from 1 species
GUGAGGAAUAUUGGUCAAUGGGCGCAAGCCUGAACCAGCCAUGCCGCGUGCAGGAAGACGGUCCUAUGGAUUGUAAACUGCUUUUAUUUGGGAAUAAACCUCCUUACGUGUAGGGAGCUGAAGGUACCAAAUGAAUAAGCACCGGCUAACUCCGUGCCAGCAGCCGCGGUAAUACGGAGGGUGCAAGCGUUAUCCGGAAUCAUUGGGUUUAAAGGGUCCGCAGGCGGUCAUAUAAGUCAGUGGUGAAAGCCUACAGCUCAACUGUAGAACUGCCAUUGAUACUGUAUGACUUGAAUUCGAUCGAAGUGGGCGGAAUGUGACAUGUAGCGGUGAAAUGCUUAGAUAUGUCACAGAACACCGAUAGCGAAGGCAGCUCACUAGGUCUGGAUUGACGCUCAGGGACGAAAGCGUGGGGAGCAAACAGGAUUAGAAACCCGAGUAGUCC